rnacentral:rRNA from 1 species
AUGGCGCCGUCGGUGCCGAAGAAGAAGCGCAAGGUGAACCUCCCGGAGAACGAGGAGGUCGCGGCCAGCAUCUUCGAGAAGCACCGCUCCAUGGCGGCGCAGCAGCCGGCCGGCCUCCCGGACCACCAGGCCCGCGCGCUCUCCGCCGCCUACACCGGCGUCUGCUCCGCCAAGGAGCCCAUCCGGACCCCCGGCGACCUGGCCCGUCUUAAGGGCGUUGGAGGUUGGGUUGUUGACGUCAUGAAAGACUCCUUUCCAGGGUCCAGCCUUGAUUCAUCUCCUCCGAGAAGUAAUACGCCAGGAGAAACGGGAAAGAAAAGAAAGCGAAACAAACCCUAUGUGCCACAGCUGAAUUCAGCUGCUUAUGCAAUAGUGAUCACACUCUACAGGGAAAUGAUAAGAGGGACGGAGAUUAUGAAGAAGCAAGAGCUUAUUGAUGCCGCUGAAGCCAGUGGUCUGUCGCGAAAGGCAAUAGGCCCAAACAACUACAAAUCAAAACACGGGAAUUCUGGUAGUGACUUCUACACUGGAUGGAGUUGCAUGAAAAACUUAACGGAAAAGGAUCUUGUUGUGAAAAAGAGUAACCCUGCAAAGUAUUACCUAACAGAAAAAGGCAAAGAGACUGCUCGCAUUUGUCUCACAAAGUCUGGAUUAGAUGAUCCUGCAGGACCUUUCACGGCGACCGGUCAUCCUGAAAGUGUUAUGCUCAGUGAUUCAGAUUCUGAUGAACAAGAAGGCAGCAGUCCCCUGAUAGGUUCCGAGAAUUUUUCUGAAAGGAGUGGACUUCCAAACUCAAAAGCAGGCAAUUCCAGUUCUUUUCCUACCAACAAUUGCCGUGCUACUAAUUCUCCUCUUUCAUCUCAAGGAAUGUUCGGACAGCAAUCAUUUAGUGCAAUGGGUUCUGCUGAAAACUCUCUACUAGCUAUGCCACCUCGUCAGUAUGAUAAAAGUUUUCUAGAUACUUAUGAAGUGGUGCUGAUAUUGGAUGAUCGAGAUACUUUUGGGGCCCGUGCCAGAAGAAAAGUUGUGGAUAACAUACACACGCAGUUUGGUGUACCUGUAAAGAUUAAACACUUGCCUGUUGGAGAUGCUCUUUGGAUUGCUCGCCAUAAACAACUUGGCACGGAGUAUGUUCUUGAUUUCAUUGUUGAAAGGAAAAAUGUGGAUGAUUUGCUUGGCUCAAUUAAAGACAACAGAUACAAAGAUCAAAAACUAAGACUGAAGAAAUGUGGGCUUAGGAAGCUAAUAUAUCUAGUUGAAGGGGAUCCAAACACUGUCGAUGGAUCAGAGAGCGUUAAAACAGCCUGCUUCACUACUGAGGUUCUUGAAGGAUUUGAUGUCCAAAGAACCAAUGGGUAUGCUGAUACUGAAAAGAAAUACGGCCACCUCACACGCUCUAUAAUUGAUUACUACAGAACAAACUUCUCUGCUGGUGCUGACACUUCUCGACUUUGCCUGACCUAUGAUGAGUUUGUGAAAAGGUCUUCUGACCUUGAGAAGGUCACUGUGAGCGACAUAUUCGCCCUUCAGCUUAUGCAGGUGCCACAGGUGACCGAAGAAGCUGCUCUUGCCGUGACGAGUCUCUACCCCACUAUCCUCUCGCUUGCCAGGGCGUACAAGAUGCUUGAUGGUGAUAGGCGUGCCCAAGAGGAGAUGCUGAAGAACAAGAGCAACAUGGUCAACGCGGGGGCUAGCAAGAACAUCUUCAAGCUCAUCUGGGUCGAAUGA